CCCUACGGGGCGCAGCAGUGGGGAAUAUUGGGCAAUGGGCGAAAGCCUGAUGGAGCAACGCCGCGUGGGUGAAGAAGGUCUUCGGAUCGUAAAACCCUGUUGUUAGAGAAGAAAGUGCGUGAGAGUAACUGUUCACGUUUCGACGGUAUCUAACCAGAAAGCCACGGCUAACUACGUGCCAGCAGCCGCGGUAAUACGUAGGUGGCAAGCGUUAUCCGGAUUUAUUGGGCGUAAAGGGAACGCAGGCGGUCUUUUAAGUCUGAUGUGAAAGCCUUCGGCUUAACCGGAAUAGGGCAUUGGAAACU
rnacentral:rRNA from 1 species